rnacentral:rRNA from 1 species
GGGGGAACCCUGAUGCAGCGACGCCGCGUGAGCGAUGAAGCCCUUCGGGGUGUAAAGCUCUUUCGGCAGGAACGAUUAUGACGGUACCUGCAGAAGAAGCUGCGGCUAACUACGUGCCAGCAGCCGCGGUAAUACGUAGGCAGCGAGCGUUGUUCGGAGUUACUGGGCGUAAAGAGUAUGUAGGCGGUUUCGUAAGUUUGGUGUGAAAUCUCCCGGCUUAACUGGGAGGGUGCGCCGAAAACUGCGAGGCUAGAGUGCGGGAGAGGAGAGCGGAAUUCCUGGUGUAGCGGUGAAAUGCGUAGAUAUCAGGAGGAACACCGGCGGUGUAGACGGCUCUCUGGACCGUUACUGACGCUGAGAUACGAAAGCGUGGGUAGCAAACAGGAUUAGAUACCCUGGUAGUCCACGCCCUAAACGAUGCACACUUGGUGUGAGCAGUUCAUUCUGUUCGUGCCGGAGCUAACGCGUUAAGUGUGCCGCCUGGGGAGUACGGUCGCAAGGCUGAAACUCAAAGAAAUUGACGA